rnacentral:lncRNA from 1 species
AAUUUGUUGGAACAAACAAGAAAUUAUGGUCUUUGAGACACAACACAUAUGCAUCUAAAGAGGUUUUGGACUUGUUUCUUUGUCUGUUUAAUUUUUUUUUUUUUUGGUGUUCAGUUAUUCUGUGCAGACAGCCAUUGGAAGCCUCUUGGAAGAGACCUGAGGUUAGUCAAACACUGUUCAUGUCGUCUUUCUUUUAUGUUUUUUAUUUGGCUUUACAUUUUGCAAAAACAUUUAUUUUUCAUGAUAUUUUUAAAAUUGUAUUAUUCCUGCUUUUUGUUUUCGUUCUUUAUACUAAUUUGUCAUUUCAUAAAAGGUUAAAACACUGAUUUAAACAAAACUCCCACUGGUUGGUAAAGGUGAGUAAAGUUCAAAAAAAAAAAGAUAUGAAUAGUGUGGAAAGGGAUAUAUGCUAUAUUUAUUUAUAUUUAAAAUACUUAGAGCUCUAUUUUAUAUCAAUAUGUUUGGAUCCUUGUGUAAAUUUUCUGUCUUGUUUUUGUUUCUAUAUAUCCUUAACGAAUCUCCGAUCAAAUACUCUCCAUGCGUUCCUAAAAAAUUCUUAUUCUAGAGAAAAUUUUUGUUUUAGAAAGAUACAUAUUUUAUACUACCUCCAUUCCUAAAUGUAGGAUAUUUUAAAGAAUUUCGAUGUUUCAAUAUAUAAGAUGUUUUCAUUUUUCUAGGUAAACUUUUAUUUUAUUAAAAAAUGUGCAACCAAUCAUAUUUGAUAAUCCAUUUUGUAAUCGGUUGAAUAACAUUAAUUUAUAGUUUUAAUGAUAUUUUCUAGACAAAACAAUGAUUUUUUAAAUAUACGUGUUUUUACUUAAAGAUCUUAUAUUUAGGAACAGAUGGAGUAUUUCCAAUGUAAUUUUUGUCAACUAAUAAUGAGAAAUUGUGAAGUUCAAGAAUGUUAAUUGCAUUUUAAAAAAUUUUAUUGGUUUAAUAAUAUAGAAAAUAUAAAAUUAUAAAAAACUAUGUAUUUAUAGAUACGUUUUCAUUUAUUUUAUUAAAAAUUGUGAAAAUUCUAAAAUAUUGAUUUUUUAAGAACAGAGAGAGAGUAGAUAUCAAGUACAGUAUGAGGUUCUGUAGGCCUGCUUUGUAAAUUGGAAUGAGAACAUUUGUUUCGUUCCCAUUCCCAGACAGAACAAAUUCUGCCCAUGUGAACACUAGUUACUUCUCCAAAAAAAACUAGUAAAAGUACAUUCAACCUCUAUAUUUAUAAUCUAACUAGAUUCUACUCUUUGAUUUUAAAGAGUGAAAUUAUAAUUUUUACAUAAUUUAUUUUAAUAAUUUUAAAUAAUUAGUUUAUCUUUUAAACAUAUUUGUAAACUGAUUUUUAUUUCUGUUUCUGAUAAAAUUCUUUUUAUUUAAUUUAAAAACAUGGGAUUUUAAAAUGUAAUAAACUCAAUUUAUAUUUUAAGACAAAAACUGAGUCUAUAUUUAGGUAUAUAUAUUUCAAUAAUUGUUACAAACUUAAUUAGUUAUUUAAACAAUAAUAAUUAAAAUAUCUAUAAGAUUUGGUUAUAAAAAAUAAGAAAUAUUCAAAAUUAAAAUUAUAUAUUCCCUGUUACAAUAAUAUAUAUUAUGUGUGAUGGUGUUUUCAUUAAAAUUUAUAAUUUGAAAAUAAAGACUAAACUAAUUUUAAUGAAAUGUAAACUAACUAAAAUUUGAAUAAAAUAAAUUGUAAAUCACACAUGGAAAUAAGGUUGUUUAUAUAUUAUGUUUCAAUUUUAAUUUUAAUAAGAUAGAUUCAAUAAUAUUAACAUCAUUUCUAAUCUUUUAUUAUAUUUUAUUUUAAAAGUUGGUGUAAAUGUCAAAGUUAAACGACAACCAUGUUAAUAUGAAAUUCCAUUAUUUUCAAAGGACCCUACUUGGAAGCAAUUAUUACAAUAUCAGCCAUAACUUUACAUCGAAAUAAGAUAUGCUUUUGUAGUCUAACAAGACUUUUCCCACGUCUUGUGAUGUGACCGCACAGGUGAUUAUUGUUUUGUUUGUUUUUAGUUUUUAGUUUUUGGUUCCUAGUUUUUAGUUUUUGGUUUUUAAAUUUUAGUUUUUAUUUUUUGGUUUUGCGGUAAAUUUUGGCUUUUUGAAAAUCAUGAGUGUUUUAGAUUUUGGUUUUUAGUUUUUGAUUUUUGCUUUUAAAAUUAAUAAAAUAUUUUUAUACAAAUAAAAUAUUUAUUCUGAAAAAUAAAAUAUAAAAUACACACAUCAAAACACACAUAAACUUAUUUAAUAAAAUUAUUUUAAAUAACAUUUGAGGUGUGAAAAAUAUUUAAAUAAGAACUGCAAAAAACAAUAUAAAUUAUCAACAAUAUAAUUUUUUGUAAUGACUAACUUCAAAUAAUUAAUUUUAUUUCUUUUGAUAAGUUAAAAUUUUUAUAGGAGUUAUUUUGCUUACAUGAGUUUAUUAUUAGAUAAAAUAUCAUUCAAAUAUUAUAAUAAUAUUAGUACAAUAAGCUUUGAUGAUUAGUAUAGAUGAAAUUUACUAUAAAUUAAAAAAGUGUCCAACAGUUUAUUAUUCGAUAAAAUAUUAUUCAAAUAUUGUUAUAGUUUUGGUAAAACCUGUGUUAUAAUAAAAACAGAUGUAAAAUACCUUACAUAGAUAUGCUCAGACAUUAUUAUUAGCAAUUAAAAAUGCCUUAGUAAUGGGUCUUACGUAUUAUAAUCAUAGGUAUUACCCAAAUCAUGACUUACGUAAGUUGUAUAUAUAUGUAAUAAUAGAUAAACGUAAAAGAAGUUUCAAGCAACAAAACUACAAAAAACUGAUUUUUGGUUUUUGUUUAGAAGUUGCCAGUUAUUUAAAAAACUAGUUUCCUUAUAUUUUAAAAAAACUAUUUAUCAGAAAAUUUGAUUGGGUGAAAAAUGGUUUUUGGAGAAACAAAAACCAAAAGCUAUUCCAAAAACCAGAAACAAUCGACCUGGCAAUGGCAGGAAACCUACUUGGAAGCAAUUAUUACAAUAUCAACCAUAACUUUACAUCGAAAUAAGACAUGCUUUUGUAGUCUAACAAGACUUUUCCCACAUCUUGUCAUGUGACGACACAAUUGCAGGAAACCAUGUUGGCAUUCAUAGGCUGUAAUGUGAUCCAGAACAAAUGCAGAAAUAAUGCAGGAUAUUUAAUUUGCAGAUAGAACUGCAUUUGUUACCCAUUCAUGUUUAUAAUGCAGAACUGGAAAAGGUAAAAAAAAACUAAAAACUGACCUGAAUGCAGAUUGGUUUUGUCUUUGAUUAUUUGUCCCGCAGAUUAUAGAAGAAAAGGUUCUGGCGAGAGGCAGAGGGGCAAAAUGGCCUGAUUUUUUUUUUUUAAGUUCCUUGAUUAUAAUCACUCUUCAUUAUUACACUUGAUUUUAUAGGCCUCGAACGGAUCGGGUAUCCGGGAAAUUUUAAGGUAUCCGGAUCCGGAUCCUUAUCCGGCGGAUCUAUAAUUUUACUAUCCUUAUCCGGAUCCGCGGUUCUCGGAUUCCGGACCUUCUAAAAAUUGUAAUAUCCGGCGGAUAUCCGGAUCCGAAUUUAGAUCCUUAAAAUAAAUAAAUAAAAUAAUAUUAAUAUAUAUAAAAUAUUAACAAUAAUUUAAAACAAAAAAUAUAUAAUGUUUUGAAUUAUUUCUAGGGUUUUCUGCAAAAAACCCUCAAUGUGGUUUUUUUUUUCAAAUUAAUCCGCGAACUCAAAAACCCACGGGUCAACCCUCCAAGUGCCAGUCAAACCGCAAUAUAACCCUCGGCCGUAUUUAUGUGUAUUUGACUGUGUAUAAUUUUAACAUUUUUUCAAUAAUAGGUCGUUUUGGCGCUAAUUUUUUAAUGAAAAAAAUUUGUUGAACUCGUGGUUUGAAAUUUGAACCUUAAAUACCAUGUGCAUGCUAUAUAACCAUCUCGGCCAACAAAUAUAUUUGUUUACUUAACAAACGCAAUUAUAUAGAUUUCUAAAACGAAAUGACCUUGUUUUUCUCGGACAUGGGAGCUUGCGUAAAUGCACAAUGAAGGUGGAGUUCAACAAAUUUUUUUCAUUAAAAAAUUAGCGCCAAAACGACCUAGUAUUGAAAAAAUGUUAAAAUUAUACACAGUCAAAUACACAUAAAUAUGGCCGAGGGUUAUAUUGCGGUUUGACUGGCACUUGGAGGGUUGACCCGUGGGUUUUUGAGUUCGCGGAUUAAUUUGCAAAAAAAAAUCACAUUGAGGGUUUUUUUGCAGAAAACCCUUAUUUCUACGUAUAAAAUUACAAAACUUACGUAAAAUUUACAUAUACUAUUAUAAAAAUGAAAAUAUAUUAAAUAAAAUUAGUUUUUAUAUAUAGAUAUUACUAUUUUUGAAAUAGUUAUUAAUAAAACUUACGGAUCCAGAUAUCCGGACUAAAAAAUCAUGAUAUCCGGAUCCGGUUUUAGCGGAUCCAACAUUUUACAAUCCGGAUCCGGAUUAGGCCCCUCCGGAUAUCCGGAUUUUCAGAUGGGAUCCGGAUCAAAUCUCAGAUCGAAUCCGGAUCUCGGAUAAAAUUCUCGGGCCUAUUCAUUUACUUAACAAAUUAAUUGUUUUCUCAGAAAUAAAGUUUGUUAAUUUUUUCAUUAUAAGUUAUAGUACUGGACAUAUUUUUUUUAUUACAAAUAAAAAAUGAUAAUUACCUUGUGUCUAAUUAGUUUUUAUAUUUUCAGGUUGUCUUUACAUCAAUUAAAAAGAAUUCAAAAAUUCAAGGAGUAUUUUAAUUAGCUCAUUAAAUAAAUUCUAAAACAUUUAGGAUGUUUAAAAUAACCUAUAAAUACUUUUAUCUUCUAUUUAUUUUUUAAAAUUCACAAACAGUUGCAUAAUUUAUUUUAUUAAAAAAACUAAUUAAAUUAUAAAUUAACUAUAAUUUUUAAACAUUAAUACAAAAUUUAUAUAAAACUUCAUGCACGCAUAUAUAUAAACAAAAAAAUAUUUUUUUUUAGUUUUAUGCAUUUACUUUCAUAUUUGGUAAUUCAUAUUUAACUGCAUAUAAUUAUAAAUUUUAAAUUUUAAUUAUAAUUACUUAAUAUCAAUGAAACAACACAUUUUUCUUACAUAUACAUUUAUGCAUUUUUAUAUUUUUAAAUUUAAAAUAAAGGUUUUGUUGAUACAAUAACAUAUAUAUAUAUAUAAUUUGACAAUGUCAGUUCUAUAGGUUAACCAAACGGUAAUAAAAAACCAAAAAUUGAAUAAAUAUAAAAAAAUAAGAACAAAACAAGAAUAUUCUUUAUAAUUUUUGUAAUUUUGAUGAUUUUUCAUAUAAUUUUAAAAUCACUAUAUUUAUUAAAAUGAUGAUAUUUAUUGUUAUUUUGUCAACUUGAUAUUUAUUGCUUAUAUAUAAUAAGUUUAAUUUUAUUUAAAAUUUUAAUUUUUAUGAAAAAAUAAAAUAUUUAAUUAAAUAUAAUAAUUUAUUAAAUUAGAUUGAUCUGCAUUUGUUCUGUUUGAUAUGUAUGAUCUACAUUUCUUCUGUUUGAUCUGCAUUUUUGUCUGUAUUUAUUCAUCUGCGUUAUCUAUUCGAAGUCAUAGUCCAUUGCUACGCAUUUAAUAUUACCCGGACAGUUGGACUAUUAUUGCUCUUGAGCCGGAUACUUGGAUGUAUACUUUAAAAAGUUGCAUAAAUAAAUAGUUAUUCCUGGGUACACCUCCUAGGUUAAAAUUUUUAGGUUCACCGACUAAUAGAAUUUCAUUAUUUCAAAUUCGAUAUUUAAAAAAAAAAAAAAAAUAUUGUCAAAUUAUAUUAUGUUUUUAAAAUAAAAAGGUAAAAAAAAAAUAGUAGUUACAGAAAAAAAAAUUAAAAAAAAUCUUUUUAACGUCGUCAGCAAAACACUAAACCCUAAAUCUUAAUCCCAAAACCCUAAAUCCUAAAUUCUUAACCCUUGGGUAAACCCUAAACCCUUAAAUAAACUCUAAACCCUUGGGUAAACUCUAAACCCUUGGGUAAAUCAUAAACUCUCGGAUAAAUCCUAAACUCUAAAUAAAAACACUAAACCCUAAGACUUUAAACCCUAAAUCCUAAAUCCUAAACCCCAAACCCUUGAGUGUUUUAAUGUUUAGUGAUUUUGAUUUAGAGUUUAAGAUUUAUCCUAGAGUUUAGGGUUUACCCAAGGGUUUAAGGUUUAGGAUUUAGGGUUUAGGGAUUAGGAUUUAGGCUUCGAAUGGUGACUGCGGUUUGAACGGUGCGGAACAAGCGGUUCAACUGCGGUGCGGUUUUAACAGUUAUAAAAACGUAUCGAUAUAUGGUAUACGUUAAUAUUUUUGUUACUGUUAACUGCGGUGCGGGUCGGAACGGUUAUAAACAUUCGAAGCCUUAGAGUUUAAUGUUUUGCUGACGACGUUAAAAAUAUUUUUUUUGUAAAUACUACUAUUUUUUAUUUAUUUUUUUACAAUUUAAUUUUAAAAGAUAAUAUAAUUUGAUAAUAUUUUAUUUUUUUUAAUAUAUCGAAUAUGAAUUAACGUGGGGGUGGGGUAAAGGGAGAAAUUCCACUCAAGCUACCCUGCGUGGGCUCAUGAGUGUAUCCAUUUAUCUGUUAGAUAAUAGGUUGUGUUAUCUUUGGUUUACGAGAUUAGCUGGCUCUGAGACUAUCCAAAGUUAGGCAUGGGCAAAAUAAUCGGAACCGAAGAACCGAAUCAGAACCAAACUGAAAUAUCCGAAACUGGAAUCAGACCAAUACCUUCAAAUACCCAAACGGUUUCUAUAUUUUUAUAUCCAAAAUAACCGAAUCGAACCAAGAACCGAACGGGUACCCGAAUAUAUAAAAAUAUUAAUUAUAUACAUAUAACAUCAUUAAAUAAAUAUUUUUAAUUUAAAAUUCUAUUAAAAGUAUCUGAAAAUAGUUGAGGAUAACUAAAUUAUUAUAAAGUAUCCAAACUACUCGAAAGUAUCUGAAACUCUCCGGAUAGUUUUAUCCGAAAUAUCCAAAGUAAUCCGAAAUAUCUAAAUUUUUUAUCUAAAUCAUCCUAAUUAUUUGAUAUUUUACUCUAAAUAACCGAUAUUUUAUCCAAAUUAUCUGAACUAUCCGAACUAUCCGAACCGGAUCCAAAAGAGAAUCGAACUCCGAAUAUUUUCCGGUUCCUACAUUUACUAUCCAAACCGAACCGAACCCGAAACUAUCUGAACCGAACCGAACCAAAAAUAGGUCAAGUACUAAAUGGAUCCUCUAGCCCCUAUCUGAACUACCCGAAACCCGAAAUACCCGAACCGAACCGAACCGAUAUCCGAAAUGUCCAGGCCUAUCCACAGUGAUAAAACAAUUCAAUAUCCUCAUUUUUUCUUUUUAACGUUUCACAUUAUUUUUCACCUAAUUAUUCAAUAUUCAAUUCAUUUUUAACCUCUAAUAUAAUUUUAUUUAAUAAAAUUCAACACACUACUCCACUAUUUCUAAUUCAUCUUCUUUUUAUAUUUUAUAAUUCAAUAAUUAUAUAUUAUAUAAUAAGUUUGAUUAUAAUUAACUUAAAUAAUUUAAAUAAGAUAUUUUUUAUUAUUAACUUUUAAAAAAAUAUAUAAAAAGUAAUAUUAUUAAAACAAAUAAAAUUAGAAGAUUUAAAUACAUACAAUAUAACACACAGAACAACAAAUUAAAAACACACAACUUAUUUGGUACAAGAAACUCAAAUAAAAACACACAACUUAUUUUUUACAAUAAAUACAAUCAUAAACAACAAAUUAAAAUUUUGUAUUCAGUUAUUUAGACAGCCAAUAGAAGCCUCUGGGAGGAGACCUGAGGUUAGUCAAACAUUGUUCAUGUCGUCUUUCUUUUAUGUUUUUUAUUUGGCUUUACAUUUUGCAAAAACAUUUAUUUUUCAUGAUAUUUUUAAAAUUGUAUUAUUCCCGCUUCUUGUUUUCGUUCUUUUGGUUUUGAGAUUUUUUUUCUCAGAUUGACUUGAGAAAUUUGGGGUCUUGUGGAAUAAUGUUUUUGGGAAGCUGUUGAUGCUCUUUUUUUUUCACCAGAGGCUCACUCAUGACUCGGGUAAGAGACGACUCAGGGACUCACUCAAGUCUAGCUGUUCUGUUUUCUUUCAACGAAUUAAUAAUAAACUAUUUUUCAUUUUUCGUACAUUUAUUGCAAAUUGUUUAUUAAAUAAAAAAUAUUCUUUAAAGGAAAGUUCGUUAUUUUUUUGUGGGAAACGACUUUAGCUUAUAGGUCUUUCUUUAUGCUGAAUAAUAAUAAAAUCAAAAGUGACAGCUGUUGGGUACAAUAAUUAAAAGAAAAUAUUACAUUCAAGGUCACUUUCAUCUUUUAUAUUACACCACUAGACACUUUGCUCUCUUAAGACACUUUUCCUAAUUUCAAUGCACGUUUGUUUAGGUUUACUAGUUGAAACAUAAGUAAAUUGUAAUUAGUAGGUCCCAUUCUUUUUUUCUGUUUCUUCUUCCUCAAAAUUCUUUUCCAUAUCUCACUAGUUUGCUUUUACAAUUUUUUUGAUGUUUUGAUUUUUUUUUUCACUAACAGAAUUACAAAAUUUAAAAUAAAGCUUCACAGAUCUUGGUAUUCAAAUCCUAGCCAAUUUAACUAUAUUUUCUCUCAUAUCUUAUUAGAGAGUCAUUAGAUCUAGAAGAUGUAACUAAUGAGAGAGAGAAAGUUUGAUUUGCAGAAAAAACAAAAGAUGGAAGAAGAUGGGAUGCUGUUACCGUGAUAACAGUUUCUACGAUGCAGGGCCGGUCCUGGCUAAGCCCAUUGAAACAUUUGUCUUAGGUCCCUAUUUUUUAGAGGUCCCAUUUCUAGAAAAUCCAAUAUACAUUAUAAAACAAAAAAAAAAUUUAAUGAGAUCACACGAACUUGGCUAUAUCACGUUGGUUUAAGUUUUAACAACCAAAGUCCAUUUGAAUAGGCCAAAGAACACAAUAAUGUAAGUAGCCCAAUAAAUCAAAAAGAGUAAAAAUCCACAAAGCUAAAAAAAAUUUGGACUAACGUAUUUCAUUUUUUUUUUGUCUUCGACUCUUGCACUUGCUUUCCCUGUCAUAACUUGGAAGCCAAAAACACAAUUUCAAAACAGAAUUUCAUUACUCCUUGUCAAUUGCUUGUGUUUAUAUCAGAAGAAAAAUAUCGGCAUAAACUAUCAGUUCAUUUGUUCAUUUUUUUGUAUAGAAACUUAUGUUUUAUCAUUGGUUUAGUAUUUUAUAUAUGAACUAUGUUUAUAAGUUUGUUUUUGGGAUAUUUUUGUGAUGUAAGAUAUAGGCCCCUAUUUUUUAUUUCGUUUCAAGCCCCCGAAUUUUCAGGACCGGCCCUGCUACGAUGUCACCGAGAAUCGUGACAGAUUUACUCUGGCUGUGACUCUUAUUUGAACCACCGGAAACAGCCCAUCUUUAGACUCCGACUCAUCUUUCCCGGUGUCGUGACCUCACCUCUUGUCGUCUAUGUUCCGUCACGAGCUCGCGUCUCUGCUCCGUAGAAAGCAUCAAUGGCCAAUUUUUGCUUUUUUGCACAUUUGGUCCUUUAUUUUGUGUAAUUCAUUUCUGAUCUCAAACUCUUUAAUAGUACAAAUAACUCUUCGUAUUAACCCCUUUCUUCUUUAUUGUUAAUUCCAAAACCCUUCAUAAAAAUUGCAUGAAUGGUCUCUUGUCUUUUAAUUACUUUCAUUUCCGCCCCCCCCCCAAAAUUCUAAAAUAAACAAUUUUCUCUUUGAUUUCAUCUCAAACUUAUCAAUUGCAUACUCUAACCUAUGUUAAUGCAAUUUAACAUGCAUAUAUACACUAAAGACUUUUAAAGCCAAAUGUACAACUCAUGUCAGUCUAUCGUACUUUUGAACUUUGGGUUUCACUGAUCAAUUGUACAUGUAGAUGUUUGUGGGACUAUGUACAUGAUGAUUAUUGUACAUCUGGAUAAGCAAAUGUAUGUGUACACGUCUCAUUUGCCUAAACAUCAACAUAAUAAUUCAUUUGAAACUCCUUAAGAUAUUUGUUUCAUGUUGGUGCAGGGAUAAGGUAAAGAAAGCACUCUGGCCAAAGUUUUAUUUUGGAUUAAAUUAGAUUCCUCUUCACAAUCAACUUGCGAAUCAACUUCAUAAUGUUUUGUAUGCUUUGUAUAAUGAUACAAAGUUUCAUAUUCUUCUACCACUUUAUCUUUGAAUGGACUUUACCUAAUUUAUCAAUAUUGUACACAUUUACGGUAUCAUAUUUGUUGUACACAUGUACUCCACAAAAUAUUAAUGUACACACACUAGGGAUGUGCACUACUUUACAAUAUGUAUCCACAUUAGAUUUACAUUGUUUUGUGGACAUAUAAGAUUAUGAUAGAGAUAUACAGAAUGUCAUUAAGAUAAAAUAUAAUAUAUAUAUUGGACAUAUGACCAUUGGCAAAACAACAAGAGACAUUUUCCAUGAUGCUUUGUCCAUGCUUAUAUUUUUGAGAGGUCGUGUAAUCUUUAGCUCAUCAUUUGAUAGUGUAUAUGUCUUUUUUUUUUUUUUUUUGACAAAAGAUUUAAAAUGACUAUUUAUAUUUGUCUAAAAUUGAUAGUGUAUAUGUCAAACAUGCAAACACCUUUAGAUUUGUUCAAAAAAAAAAAAAAAAAUUACUAAUCAUGUGUUGGCGAGGUUCUUUGAUUGUGAUAUGUAAAUAGCAUGGAAACCUUCCAAAUGUAGCUUUCAGUGUAUAACACAGUGUAUCUGUGAAAUAUUUCUCCGCAAACCUUGUUCCAUCAAUCUGUAACGUGGGAGCAUGCUUCCAUGUAAAAAGAUUAUUGUUUUGUGUAUAAUUUGAUUUCGUACACUCCGCAUCGUGUACACAUGUACAUUGAAGGUCAAUAAAAAUAUGUGGCUAUAAUGUCACAUAUAGGUGGAUUAGGGUUGAUUACUCAAAAUGUCAAAAUAUAUAAUAAAAUAGAUCAAAUCAAACUAAUGAUAGGUGUACACAUUGUUAUGUGUGUUAUUUAUGUCUAAUGGUUGUAAUGUCAAACGACGACAGUGUAAAAAACAUACAAACGCCAGCGAGGACUGGAGCUUCGAAACAAGGCAUGGCGGUGGUGGAUCGAGCUAGGCACAGCUCAGGUAUUGUUGGUUGGAGAAGAGUACACGUUAUGAUAAAAUGGAGGACGUCGAGAAUGGAUCUUCACCGACAAAAGGAUGAAACACAAUAAAUCAAAGCUAACCAAACAGAAAAACAAAAAAAGUCAAAGAAAAAUAGUUUACUGUUUUUAUUCUGGGUUUCAAAACUUUAAAAGAUUUAAAAAAAAAAAAAAAAAACUUUAAAAGAUUUAAAACAAAAGUAAAGAGAAAAGAAACAAGAAACUUUUGUGGGCCAAGGGUAACAAAUCAAAAGCUAAAUAAAUACACAAGGGUGACGAAAAAAAGGUUUAUGGUUUCACUUUUUCAGGGUCAGCAGAGUCUUUAACCACCUAAAACUAUCCAAGUAGCACAAAGUGAUCUUCUAUGUAAUUAAAAGUCAAAAACUGAACUGCAGUGUAAAUCACUCUAAUUAAAAGUUCAUGUUAUCAGAAGUUGAGCUAGCGUCGUUUAUGGAUAACUAGACCCUGGUCCGCGCGCCAGCGCAGAUAUGAAUUUUCGGUUUUUAAUUAUUUAUUUUAUAAAAUAUGUAUUUGUAAUAUUUGUUUAUAUUAUAUUUAUUAAGUAAAUAUAUUUUUUUUUGCAUCUUAACCUAUUUAUUUAUUUACGAAUGUGUGAUAUCAUAUAAAAAAUAUAAAAAAUGAGUAUAGAGUUAAUUAGAUAAUUUUAAAAACAGAAAUUUUUCUUUCGUGUGCGAUAUCAUAUAAAUAAUGAUCCGCCCAGUUAACAAAAAUCAUGAUUAUUUUAUGUGUAAUUUUUUUUAUUUUGACCAUUUCCUUAAAACUAUAUUAAAUUUUACAUAUUUUAAUUAGAAUAUUUUUAAUAUCUUUACCUUUUUAUUUGAAAUGCAACUCAAUAUUUUUUUAACAAUUAUAACAAAAUAUUUAAAAAAUAUUUUUAGAAUUUGUUUGAAAAAUAUGAAAAUUACAUUUUAAAUUAAAAUUAUCCUAAAAUAUGAUAAGUUUUGAUGUAAACGAAAACUCAAAUUAUGUCAAAAAUAAUGAUAUUCAAUGAUAAUAACAAUUUUAAUUGAUUAUUUUUUAAAAAAUACAUUUACAAAAAUAUUGUUCGAAAGAAAAUUCAUUUAUCUUUCAAAUAUAAUAUGAAAAUAUUAUAAUUAAAUAAUAAAAAAUAUAAAUAAAAACCAUAAAUUUAGCAAAUGACAACUGACUUAUAUUAUGUUAAAACUUUCUUUCUAACAAUUUAUCAAAUGACAAAUGAGUUAUGAACAAAUAAUACCAUAUAAUUUUUAAAAACAUAGCCACUCUUAAAUAUUUUUUGAAUAAAUAAUUAUUUUAAAAUUUAAUCAACUGAAAAUAAUAUCCGUACAAUUGUGUGAGUCAAAUUCUAGUUUUAUUGAUGCAUGUUAUAUAUUAGUGCUGCAUGUUUUAGGUAACAUUUUAAUGAUGCACGUUUUUAAAAAUCUCCAUUAUUAAAAUUAUGCACGUAAGGAUAACUCAUGAGUUUUUUUGGUUGAUUAAAUGACAUUAUGUCCAAAUUUAUUUAAGGAUAUUUCAUUAAGGUAACUGAAAAAGACAAACAAUAAAAUAGGAAGUUUAAAUUCAUUUAAGCAUAUUUCAUUAAUGUAACUGAAAAGACAAGUAAUAAAUUAGACAGUUUUAUUCGUUUUAGGAUAUUUCAUAAAUGCAACUGAAAAAGACAAGCAAAAAAAAAGGGAGUUUAAUUAAUGAAGUAAGAACAUUUUCAAAUGGGUACUUCUCUUUUAAUAAUAUAGAUACGUUAAUCAACUAAAAUCCAAUUUGAAUCUUUAAUACCAUGAUUAAAAAUCCCAAGAGCAUGAUUAUAUUUUGUUUAUAUAUUGUAUUCCCACCAUUUUUUUUAAUAUAAGUCAUUUUAGAAUUGUGCACAUAGAUUAAGAAAAUCAUUAUUUUUUAUAUUUUCUAAACAAAAACAUCAUUAAUUAUUUAUUUAACCACAAAUCAACUAAUAAUAAAAUAGAAGGUAUAUUAUUAUUGAUCAUAUAAUAUUAAGUGUUAAUAAAUUUUACAUAGAAAACCGAGAACGUCAUAUAAUUUGGAACAUAAAUAUUUUUUCAAAAACGACUUAUAUUAAAAAACGGAGGGAGUAAUAGAAUUUUCGGUACAUUACUUUAAGACUGCCCACUCGUUAGUCUUAUCUUUACUCAAGUCUGUAUUUUUAAUUGUUUGUUCUCUGUUUAAAUCAUUUUAACGGUUAAAUAAUAAUAAUAAUAAUAAUAAUUUUAACAUUUAUGUCAUCACUUUCCUAGAUUCUUUUAAGCAUUUCGAUCAUUAGGAGAAUUGUCUUAUGGAUCUCACGAACUAACCAAGCUCACAAAAAUGAAUGUAUCAGCCAAGCAGAAGAUAAACAAGGAUAUGAGCUACAAUGCAGAUGAUAUAAUUGCUGGAAAUGAUACAAUAGAUGCAAACAGUUCAAGAUAUUAUUCUUUGAAACGACAAAAGAACACAACAAAAGCAAACGGAGGAAACUAAUGUUGCUGCCGGUUAUUAGAGGAUCACUUGCCUAUAACCAGUUUAGCUCUAGCAUCUCCUUGGUUGAUCUGGAACUGAUCUCCUAGUCCAAAAUGAGCCAUCAACAGCCACACAAAGCUGAUGAGUUCUCCACCUUUGCUUAGCUGAGCUGCGUGUUCUAUAGCGCCACACUUAGUUGCUGCAUAACAAAGCAACUCAGCCCACACUUUGUUCACUACUUCCCACAUGUAUGCCUCUCCCUUGGCCUUCUUCAAGCCAUCCUUUAACUCUGGAAGCUCUUUUAAACCCUUAAGCUCUUUGGCCAACAUGCUCCCAUCAAACAGCACCGACUUGCUUUUAUCACCUUUCACGUCAAUAGGUUCAGCUUUUGUCGGAGCCGUCACAGAUAAAAUCGCCUCACUAGCCAUCUUUAUGUCUCUGGAUUCGAUAUGCCUUCUCUUGAAAAACCUCUUAGCCUCCUCGCAUGUAUCCCUGAAUCUUAUCUUUCCAAUACCCACAACAGCUGACAUCAAAGUAGGUUGCAUCAUCAUGAGGUACAUCAUGUAGUCUGAAAGGAUUUUACUAAACUCACGAUCACUAUGACUCUCUUCAGUGGCUGGUUCUGAUUGGUAUAAGAGCUCAGUUGCAAUAUGCCACACAAGAAGACUCUGAUCAUAGUCCAUUUCCAUCACAUAGCGUAGAAGCCUCUCACGCUUUUUCUGUGUCUCUCUGUCUUCACCUUGUAUGUCACGCUGACUCCAGUCACCUCUAGCUGAAGAGACCCUCAUGGUGCUUUCCGAGUCGUCAGCGAAACGGGAUUUAUUCAAAACCUCUCCAAAUAUAUGCUCCCACAGAUCAAGAGUGACACGAUCACUUGAUGUGUAGAUAAUCUCCUCAAACUGAGCUUGUAUCCCAAAGAAGUCCAUGAACUUUCUUGUCAGAUAACCAAGAAGAUGAAAAAUGACGAACGUCCAAUAGAUCCAACUCCUAAUAUAAUCUUCCUUUAACCAUUUUAUGUUCUUGCAUAAAACACUUAUUUUUCAAACCACUUGUAAACAUUAUGACCCACUUGCUUUAUACUGUGGAAACAGAAUGCAAUUGCUUUUCCAAUGGCUUCAAAGACAACUCCAAUGCAAAAAACCUCGAUAAACCAGUCAAAGGACAUGUGUAUGAAACCCUUGGUGUGAUGGAUCCGCUUCGGCGUUAUCGAAAGACAGUACUCUAGCAAGUUGUGUGCAUGUACGUACUCUGACCGCCUACGUACCAUAAAGAAAGUGUCAAGGACUUCAUGACACGUCUUGUCCGUUCUAUCCUUCUCAACGUCUUCGUCCUUCUUCAGCCUCAUAAAAAUGAGAAUUGGCUUUAUAAUCUUGUCGAACCAGUUAACUUUGUUGUCCUCAUCCUUAGACGGUUUGAAGCAUUUGUACUUCUCCGUCUUCAAUCCCCUGGCCCCAAGAAUCCAGUUAAGAAAGUUGUCCAACUUAGUGUCAGGAUCAUCAACCUCGUCCUUCAUCUUCCUCAGCCUGACAAAGGUCCAGUCAGACAGACAUAACAUAAUAAGAGCAAUGCAAUCCAGAGCUAUUCCUCCUAUCAGCAAUGCAUAAGUAAGGCCAACAUCGAAUCUUCCAUAGUCUUUCUUGUCUUUGUAUUGGAAGAUGCGGAGCGCUGCUAUAAGGCAUCCAAGAGCAAUGAAUCUGAAGAUGACUCCUAUCCAAUUAUGAAGAAUCUCAGCUUUUGUGUAAAGAGCUUCGUAGAUGAAGUUGAGCUCAACCUCCAAGAUUCUUAGCGCUUCAUCUGGUUUUAGUUCGCUAAAGAAUCGCUUGCUUUCAGCUCAUUGUUGAAAGGUGAAGGUAAGAUCAACCACAAGACCUUUGAAGAUGUUGAAGUACUUAUAAGCAUACUGGAGAAUAUUAAGCUCAGUGAGGUCGUCAGGCUUAACCUUAGCACCGACUUUUGGAUCUUUCUCAGACUCCUCGAUCUUGAUAAUCUGUGUAGGCAUCUUCAUAACCUUCUUAGCCGCGUAUUCCUCCAUGAGCUUUGCGUAGUUUGGGCCAUGAUCAGGUCGUAGAAUCAUGGAAUCUUUAAACUUGUCAAGACUAGCUAGGUAUAACGCUAAUGUCCUCUCAACAUACUUGAUCACUCCUGUCGCAGAAACCAGCAAAAUGGGUCUCCACAGAUCAUUUGGUAACGACUGUAAAAACACGUAGACGGUGGCGAUUGCUUGAAAGGCAAGACCCAACAAGUGCCUAAGCCAGAGCUCAUUAUCUUCAAGCGCAAGGGAAGUGAUUGUAUCUGUACCACCAAGAUGCAAGAGCAAAAAAGGAACCCAAAAAGCUAAGAGUUUACUGUUAUUUUUAGGUUCUCCGGGUUAUGCAUCGUCUCCUUGCCUAUCAGAGAUUUUUCUCGCUGCGAAGUUGGCUGCCCAAUCGGCAAGAAGAUAAGCUGACCUGAUGAGAGAGAGUAGUACCUUUCUGGAUGUGCGUUUCUUUUGAGGUGCAAAGAAAAUGAGAAACGAUUGGAGGCUGAGACUGAAGAUUAAGGUAGUUCGGAUACUCCAUGCGUCCCAUAUGUCUUUGAUAGGCUUUGGGAUUGCGUCCACCAUCUUGAAACAGAGUUAUUUCCUAAUUUGUUGGAACAGACAAGAAAUUAUGGUCUUUGAGACACAACACAUAUGCAUCUAAAGAGGUUUUGGACUUGUUUCUUUGUCUGUUUAAUUUUUUUUUUUUGGUGUUCAGUUAUUCUGUGCAGAUAGUCAUUGGAAACCUCUUGGAAGAGACCUGAGGUUAGUCAAACACUGUUCAUGUCGUCUUUCUUUUAUGUUUUUUUAUUUGGCUUUACAUUUUGCAAAAACAUUUAUUUUUCAUGAUAUUUUUAAAAUUGUAUUAUUCCUGCUUUUUGUUUUCGUUCUUUAUACUAAUUUGUCAUUUCAGAAAAGGUUAAAACACUGAUUUAAACAAAACUCCCACUGGUUGGUAAAGGUGAGUAAAGUUCAAAAAAAAAAAGAUAUGAAUGGUGGGGAAAGGGAUAUAUGCUAUAUUUAUUUAUAUUUAAAAUACAUAGAGCUCUAUUUUAUAUCAAUAUGUUUGGAUCUUUGUGUAAAUUUUCUGUCUUAUUUUUGUUUCUAUAUAUCCUUAACGAAUCUCUGAUCAAAUACUCUCCUUGCGUUCCUAAAAGAUUCACAUUCUAGAGAAAACUUUUGUUUUAAAAAGAUACAUAUUUUAUACUACCUCCGUUCCUAAAUGUAGGAUAUUUUAAAGAAUUUCGAUGUUCCAAUAUAUAAGAUGUUUUCAUUUUUCUAGGUAAACUUUUAUUUUAUUAGAAACUGUGCAACCAAUCAUAUUUGGUAAUCUAUUUUGUAAUUGGUUGAAUAACUUUAAUUUAUAGUUUUAAUGAUAAUUUCUAGACAAAACAAUGAUUUUCUUAAUAUGCGUGUUUUUACUUAAAGAUCUUAUAUUUAGGAACAUAUAGAGUAUUUUCAAUAUAAUUUUUGUCAACUAAUAAUGAGAAAUUGUGAAGUUCAAGAACAUUAAUUGCAUUUUUUAAAAUUUUAUUGGUUUAAUAAUAUAGAAAAUAUAAAAUUAUAUAAAACUAUGCAUUUAUAGAUAAGUUUUCAUAUAUUUUAUUAAAAAUUGUGAGAAUUCUAAAAUAUUGAUUUUUUAGGAACGGAGAGAGAGUAGAUAUCAAGUACAGCAUGAGGUUCUCUAAGAGCAUAUGCAAUGGUGAGGUUCACCGAUGAAUUCUUAGGAACAUUUUAGUAAUAUUUUUUUUUUGGUUUUUGUUUGAAUAGUUAAGGAUUCGAAUCAAAACUGGUCGUCCAAUGGUGUUCCCGAAAAUAGAGUACUUAGGAAAAAAAAAUUUAUUAAUUUUUUUUUAAAUUGAAAUUGAAAUUUUAUUAAUUGCAUGAUUAAAAAUAAAGAUAUAAUGAUUAAAUAUAAAGAUAUAAAGAUACACUAAUUAUUAAUCUUCAUCACCAAAUUUCUUCCAAAUAUUUUCGAUUAAAUCAUUCUUCAAUCAUUCAUGCAUAUGCUCAUCACUAAGAUCAUUCCGAUUGGGAAACAUAUUAUUCAGAUUUGUAAGCCUCUUGGUUUCCACCUGUGAACUUCUGGUGACGUCUCCUUCUUCAAAUUCAGAUAUAUCGUACCGCAUGUAUCCAUCUCGUUCAUUUUCAACUAUCAUAUUGUGUAGUAUGAUACAUGCUCUCAUAAUCUUCCCUAUCUUUUCUUUGUUCAAUGUACGAACUGAGUUUUUGACAAUCGCAAAUCGAGCUUGCAACACUCCAAAAGCCCGCUCCACAUCUUUUCGGGCUGCUUCUUGAACUUUAGCAAAUAACUCUUGAUAGAUUGGAUAAAUGUUGACCAUUUUGGAUAUAUACCGUCUGUGAGGUGGUAUGCCAACUUAUACAUGUGUCUGUUGACCAUGUACCUUACCCUGGGAGCUCGACCUUCUAAAAGGUCAUCAAACACAGGAGACCGAUCGAGGACAUUGAUAUCAUUUAAGGUACCUGGAGGACAAAAAAAAACGUGUCAUAUCCAAAGAUCUUGUGAAGCUACAGCCUCUAAGACAAUUGUCGGUUUUCCUGAUCCACGUGCGUAUUGUCAUUUCCAAGCGGUCGGGCAAUUUUUCCACUCCCAGUGCAUACAGUCAAUGCUCCCGACCAUCCCAGGAAACUCUCGUUUCUCCCCAAUAUCGAGUAGUCGUUGAAGAUCCUCCGGUGUGGGUCGUCGUAGAUAGUCAUCUCCGAAUAAAUGUAUUAUUCCGUCAGUGUAAUUAUGUAAACACGAAAGUGUAGUGGUCUCACCAAGUCGGAGAUAUUCGUCAACCGUGUCAGCCGCAGAACCAUAAGCAAGCAUACGAAUUGCUACCGUACAUUUUUGUAGUGUAGAAAGACCGAACCUCCCGGUUGCAUCUCUUCUUUGCUGAAAGAAUGGAAUGUUCUUUGAUAGCCCAUGGACAAUACGCAAAAAUAAGUCCUUAUUCAUGCGGAAACGGCGUCUGAAUAAUUGUGACGAGAAUGUCGAAUCUUCGCUGAAGUAGUCAUUUCAUAAGCGGUCUUGUCCUCCUUAACGGUUUCGUUCAAUAUAAGCACGGCUCCUUUGGUUACUGGUUUGGGCCUCGACUAUGUUGGUGAAUGUAUCUUCGAAGAUUUCUUCGAAAACUUCGUCAAAUCUUUCUUCGAAAACUUCGUCGGAUGAAGAUGACGACAUUUUAAGGUAUCCUGCUUCAAAAAAUAAUAAGUUUUUUUUUAUCUAUAAGUUUUUUAAUCUAUAAGUUUUUUUUAAUCUAUAACUUCUUUUUUUUGUAUUACUAUAAAAUUAUGUAUAGUUUUUUUAUCUAUAACUUGUUUUUUUAUUACUAAAAAAUAGUAAUUAAUUUAAUUUGGUAUGUAAGACCACAAUGUAAAUUAAUGUACUUGGAUAUGAGCAUAAUCAAGACUACAUAUAUGAGAACACCCAAACUUAGUUCAAAUUGGAUUUUUAUGAGAAACAAAAAUGUAUAUAUAAGUGCAAAUUGGAUUUUUAUGAGAAGCAAACUCUUAUAAUAAACAAAAACAGCAACAAGACUACAACUUUGGAGAAGUUACCUAAAAAGAAGCAAACUUCUUCGAUUACACUUCGAGUUUGUAGCAACAAGAUUACAACUUCGGAUUACAACAAAAGGAGACAAGUUUGAUAGAGAGGAAACACAUCAAAAGAGAUAUCUAAUUCCACAAGCAAAGAAUGAUACUUAUACAACCUCAAUGCACCACCCGUGACUCUGGUCACUUGAGGAAAACAACAAAAAACUUUGCAACUCCAAAUACACCCGUGAAUUUUUUCACAUGUCCUACUGCUGAACUCCGCAAGCAAAGACUGAUACUUAUACAACCUCAAUGCACCACCCGUGACUCUGGUCACUUGAGGAAAACAACAAAAAACUUCGCAACUCCAAAUACACCCGUGACUUGGUUCACAUGUCCUCUUUGCUGAACCUGAAACAAGACAAAGACAAGAGUUAGUAAAGAAUAAAAGCAAUGCGCACAUGUAACAAAUACUUCGAACAUCUAACAACUCAAGGCACCAGACGACAUGUAACUACUCGAGCAUACCUCUUACGGACAUUAACACCUUAAUAGCAUCAUAACAUCUCAGACAUGAGUUUCAGUUUUAGAGAUUCUUCCAUCUCAGAUAGUGGAUCUUUUUUUGCAAGUAAACGUUCAAGAAUUUUUUGUUUAGAGAGUUUUCCUUUCAUUUCCAUGAUGGCCUGUAGCUGUGACAUCUCUUCUUCUUUGCCAUUCUUCUUCCUCUUACCAGCAGCUUUAGCAGCUUUCACACCAACUGGUCUGGCUUCUGGUUCAAGUACUUCAUCUUCUGUAUCAACGUCAACCACUUGUUUGCGCUUCUCUUUCCCACCGUCUUUAACCAUAUAGGUCGUGCACCAUUUCUGGUCAUGCCUCAGCUCCCUCCACGCAUGUUCGAGGCAGCUUUCAUCACAUCAUCAUCAUUCUGACCACUUCUCUGCCCCCUCAACGCCGCAUCAUAGCAUCCUACGAACUUACAGACUUGCUCGUUAAUCCUAGCCCACCUCUGCUUGGCUGGACGAAGCUCUCUAGGAACUGUCCCAACCAGUUGAGGGCUUGCGUUGUAGUAGUCAAUAUUUCUCUUCCAGAAACGUUUUCUGGUCACAGCUGACUACGGAAUCUUUGCUGGUGUUAAGCCACGCACUAAUGAGGAUUUUAUCCUCAAUCGGAGACCAUUUCCUCCGCUCUUUGGUAGCAAACUCGACACUAGGCUGGACAGGAGAUUCGACACUAGGCUGGACAGAAGACUCGACACUAGGCUGGACAGAAGACUCGACAAUAGGCUGGACAGAAGACUCGACAGUAGAGUGGAAACCAUACUCAUCAGGACCUUGGCUACCGAACCAAGCAGGUUCGGGUGACUCAAGGUCAACUAAAGAUUGACUAUACAUUAGAUUAACAAACCCAGUUCUGGUAUUCAUGUUUAGAUGAUGGUAUGUGUUACUCUAUUAGCAACACAGACACUUAAGUAAGCGAUAGAAAGUAAACUAGCAUUUAGGUUCGGAGUAGUUAGGCAGAUAGAAAGCAAACAAGCAUUUACCACCACUCAAAUCAGACUAAUAAGUUCUCUACUAGCUACACUUAAAGCUAACAAGUACGAUUCUAUCAAAUUUAAGGAGUUAGGAAGCAAUACUAGCAUUAAAAACCAUUAAAGCAUGACCAGUAUAGUUAAUUUUUAUUACUGAAACUAAAAAGAGUGAAAGUAUUGUACCUAUGAAGCCCAUCUCGAGUUGAGACUCUGUUGUUUAAAUCCUCCGAAGCUCUUCCUUGAAAGAUAUAAGAUAAAACAGUUAAAAAUUUUAAUUUGGUGUCAAAGAUAUUAUCUAAAUAAGGAAUGAAACUUACCAGCCCACUAUGAUGACCAGUAUUACCAAGACCAGUAGACAAACUCCCUUUGCAACCACAUAUUUAACCACUGAUUUCUUCUUAGUUAACACACCCACGAUCUUCUCUAGCUUAGCCACCUUCUGGUCACUCUCAAAGAAUUGAUCCUUGAGCAUCCUAAGUUGUGUCUGCAUUUCACCAAGCUCUUCUUGAAUCGCCACAUCCCACCAUUUCCAGAUGUGGCAGUCUCCAUCGUCAACGUUGUCGCAGGAGAAGUGCCUCUUUCCUGGAUCUUUAGGAGUGUACGACGUUGCAACAACAGGCUCACUACCGCAAUAGCAUGUCCUCGGGAUUCCUUCAUCAGCCUCUGGUUCCGGUGAGUACUGAUCCGCCUCUGCAAUUGUGUAGCUACUCUCACCUUCAUCCCCGUAGAGAUCAACUUCUGCUUGAAGUAAAGAGGUCAUGUCAAACUCGUCUGAUGAAGAAGGCUGAGUGUAGCUAUAGUCUUGUCCCAUGGUUCGUUGGCCUGCAAAAAAAGAACAGAAACUUUGUUAACGAAGAAGAAAACAAAACAUUAAGAACACAAAGCAACAAAAGAGACUAAAGAUUAAGAACACAUUAAGUAAUGAGUUUAAGUACACACUAACUUAGAUUGAUAAGCAAAUAAACAGUUUACUAGCUACACAUAAAGCAAAACAGAGGGAUCGAGUAAUGAGUUUUCGAGCUAAACAGAAAACAAGAUAAGCAACAAAAAACCAUACAUAUACGUUUUGUAUAAGGCAAACACAUACAAAACCCGAGUAUAAGAAAACAAAUCGAUGUCGAAUCUUCGCUGAAAACAAUUGGUGUUUCGAAACCGUAAGAACAAACUACAAGAUCGUUUGAAACCGAAAACGAAUUGAAACACUGACUACAUCGAUUGAAACCGAAAACGAAAACGAAUUGAAACCAAAAACGAGUAAUGAGUUUUCGAGCAAACUAAAUCGAUUGAAACCGAAAACGAAUUGAAACCCUAACUACAAACCAAAAGAUCCCCAAUUGAAAACGAUUUGAAAACGAAUUGAAAACCAGAAACUUUUUGAAACCCUAAAUCGAAGAAAUCCCCAAAUCGAUUCAAAUGGAAAAACGAACAACAAGGAAGCUAACCUAUCCUUAAAUCUACCACAGAAGAAGGCUAUUUACUUUUGAAGAUCACGGGAGAAGACGAUCGACGACGGAGAGAAAUCGCCUUUUCGUCUCGAGCUCUGAUUUUAUUCUUCUCGCCUUCGGUCGCGAAUGAAUUUUAUUCCACAAACCCGAACACAAUAGCUCACCGAGCCAACUAUCAGACGCCACGUGCACAAGGACUUGAUCCUUCUACCCCUUAUUUACGGACUGAUCCGUCAUAAUCUUAGCCCAAAUUACAAUAUUAUAUUCCAUUUGGGCUAAGGACUUGGGCUACGGACUCGUCUUGGACCGCCGUUGCGGAUGGUGUAAGCCUGCUUUGUAAAUUGGAAUGAGAACACUUGUUUCGUUCACAGACAGAACAAAUUCUGCCCAUGUGAACACUAGUUACUUCUCCAAGAAACCCGUAAAAGUACAUUCACCCUCUAUAUUUAUAAUCUAACUAGAUUCUACUCUUUGAUUUUAAAGACUGAAAUUAUACUUUUUUACAUAAUUUAUUUUAAUAAUUUUAAAUAAUUAGUUUAUCUUUUAAAUAUAUUUGUAAACUGAUUUUUAUUUCUUUUUCUGAUAAAAUUCUUUUUAUUUAAUUUAAAAACAUGGGAUUUUAAAAUGUAAUAAACUCAAUUUAUAUAUUUUAAGACAAAAACUGAGUCAAUAUUUAGGUAUAUAUAUUUCAAUAAUUGUUACAAACUUAAUUAGUUAUUUAAACAAUAAUAAUUAAAAUAUCUAUAAGAUUUGGUUAUAAAAAAUAAGAAAUAUUCAAAAUUAAAAUUAUAUAUUCCAUGUUACAAUAAUAUAUAUUAUGUGUGAUGGUGUUUUCAUUAAAAUUUAUAAUUUGAAAAUAAAGACUAAACUAAUUUUAAUGAAAUGUAAACUAACUAAAAUUUGAAUAAAAUAAAUUGUAAAUCACACAUGGAAAUAAGGUUGUUUAUAUAUUAUGUUUCAAUUUUAAUUUUAAUAAGAUAGAUUCAAUAAUAUUAACAUCAUCUCUAAUCUUUUAUUAUAUUUUAUUUUAAAAGUUGGUGUAAAUGUCAAAGUUAAACGACAACCAUGUUAAUAUGAAAUUCCAUUAUUUUCAAAGGACCCUACUUGGAAGCAAUUAUUACAAUAUCAACCAUAACUUUACAUCGAAAUAAGACAUGCUUUUGUAGUCUAACAAGACUUUUCCCACAUCUUGUCAUGUGACGACACAAUUGCAGGAAACCAUGUUGGCAUUCAUAGGCUGUAAUGUGAUCCAGAACAAAUGCAGAAAUAAUGCAGGAUAUUUAAUUUGCAGAUAGAACUGCAUUUGUUACCCAUUCAUGUUUAUAAUGCAGAACUGGAAAAGGUAAAAAAAAACUAAAAACUGACCUGAAUGCAGAUUGGUUUUGUCUUUGAUUAUUUGUCCUGCAGAUUAUUAUAGAAGAAAAGGUGCUGGCGAGAGGCAGAGGGGCAAAAUGGCAUGAAUUUUUUUUUUUUUUUUUAAGUUCCUUGAUUAUAAACACUCUUCAUUAUUACACUUCAUUUCAUUUACUUAAAAAAUUAAUUGUUUUCUCAGAAAUAAAGUUUGGUAAUUUUUUCAUAAUAAGUUAUAGUACUGGACAUAUUUUUUUAUUACAAAUAAAAAAUGAUAAUUACCUUGUGUCUAAUUAGUUUUUAUAUUUUCAGGUUGUCUUUACAUCAAUUAAAAAGAAUUCAAAAAUUCAAGGAGUAUUUUAAUUAGCUCAUUAAAUAAAUUCUAAAACAUUUAGGAUGUUUAAAAUAACCUAUAAAUACUUUUAUCUUCUAUUUAUUUUUUUUUAAUUCACAAACAGUUUCAUAAUUUAUUUUAUUAAAAAAAACUAAUUAAAUUAAAAAUUCAAUAUAAUUUUUAAACAUUAAUGCAAAAUUUAUAUAAAACUUCAUGCACGCAUAUAUAUAAACAAAAAAAUAUUUUUUUUAGUUUUAUGCAUUUACUUUCAUAUUUGGUAAUUCAUAUUUAACUGCAUAUAAUUAUAAAUUAUAAAUUUUAAUUAUAGUUACUUAAUAUCAAUGAAACAACACAUUUUUCUUACAUAUACAUUUAUGCAUUUUAUAUUUUUAAAUUUAAAAUAAAGAUUUUGUUGAUACAAUAACAUAUAUAUAUAUAUAUAUAAUUUGACAAUGUCAGUUCUAUAGAUUAACCAAACGGUAAUAAAAAACCAAAAAUUGAAUAAAUAUAAAAAAAAUAAGAACAAAACAAGAAUAUUCUUUAUAAUUUUUUGUAAUUUUGAUGAUUUUUCAUAUAAUUUUAAAAUCACUAUAUUUAUUAAAAUGAUGAUAUUUAUUGUUAUUUUGUCAACAUGAUAUUUAUUGCUUAUAUAUAAUAAGUUUAAUUUUAUUUAAAAUUUUAAUUUUCAUGAAAAAUUAAAAUAUUUAAUUAAAUAUAAUAAUUUAUUAAAUUAUAUUGAUCUGUAUUUGUUCUGUUUGAUAUGUAUGAUUUGUAUUUGUUCUACUUUAUUUGCAUUUUUGUCAGUAUUUUUUGAUCCACGUUAUCUACCGGAAGUCAUAGUCCAUUGCUACGCAUUUAAUAUUAUUACCCGGACAGUUGGACUAUUAUUACUCUUGAGCUGGAUACAUGGAUGUAUACUUUAAAAAGUUGCAUAAAUAAAGUGUUAUUCAUGGGUUCACCUCUAGGUUAAACUUUUAGGUUCACCAACCAAUAAAAUUUCAUUAUUUCAAAUUCGAUAUUAAAAAAAAAAAAAAACAAAAUAUUGUCAAAUUAUAUUAUGUUUUUAAAAUAAAAAAGUAAAAAGAAAAUAGUAAUUACAUAAAAAAAAUUAAAAAAAUCUUUUUAACGUCGUCAGCAAAACACUAAACCCUAAAUCCUAAUCCCAAAACCCUAAAUCUUAAACCCUUAACCCUUGGGUAAACCCAAAACCCUUAGGUAAACUCUAAACCCUUGGGUAAAUCCUAAACCUUCGGAUAAAUCCUAAACUUUAAAUAAAAACACUAAACCCUAAAACUCUAAACCCUAAAUCCUAAACCUUAAACUCUGAACCCUUUAGUGUUUUAAUGUUUAGUGAUUUUGAUUUAGAGUUUAAGAUUUAUCCUUGAGUUUAGGGUUUACCCAAGGAUUUUGAUAAUAUUUUGUUUUUUUUUUAAUAUAUCGAAUAUGAAAUAACACAAUUCUGUUGGUUGCUGAACUUAAAAGUUUACGCUAAAAGUGAAUUUAAGAAUAAGUCAUAAAUAAAUAAGAGGGUAAAGUUGGCCGUUUUGUAAUUGAAGUAUUGAACAUAUUGAAUGUAUUUUUUUUUCUCGUCGACUUUUUGUGCCAAUACUGUUCAAGGACUUCAAAAUGUCGGUCUUUAAUUAAUUACCUUUAGAAACCAUGGGAUAUAUUCGUACCGAUAUCAACGUGGGGGUGGGGUAAAGGGAGAAAAUUCCACUCAAGCUACCCCGCGUGGGCUCCAGAGUGUAUCCACUUAUCUGCUAGAUAAUAGGUUGUGUUAUCUUUGGUUUACGAGAUUAACUGGCUCUGAGUCUAUCCACAGUGAUAAAACAAUUCAAUAUCCUCUUUUUUUUCUUUUUAACAUUUUACAUUAUUUUUCACCUAAUUAUUCAAUAUUCAAUUCAUUUUUAACCUCUACUAUAAUUUUAUUUAAUAAAAUUCAACACACUACUCCACUAUUUCUAAUUCAUCUUUUUUUUAUAUUUUAUAAUUCAAUAAUUAUAUAUUAUAUUAUAAUUUUGAUUAUAAUUAACUUAAAUAAUUUAAAUAAGAUAUUUUUUAAUAUUUUUAUUAUUAUCUUUUUUAAAAAAUAUAUAAAAAGUAAUAUUAUUAACACAAAUAAAAUUACAAAAUUUAAAUACACACAAUAUAACACACAAAACAACAAAUUAAAAACACACAACUUAUUUGGUACAAGAAACUCAAAUAUAAACACACAACUUAUUUGUUACUAUAAAUACAAUCAUAAACAACAAAUUAAAAUUUUGUGUUUAGUUAUUCAGACAGCCAUUGGAAACCUCUUGGAGGAGACAGCCAUUGGAAACCUCUUGGAGGAGACCUGAUAGCCAUUGGAAACCUUUUGGAGGAGACCUGAGGUUAGUCAAACACUGUUCAUGUCGUCUUUCUUUUAUGGUUUUUUAUUUGGCUUUACAUUUUGCAAAAACAUUUAUUUUUCAUGAUAUUUUUAAAAUUGUAUUAUUCCUGCUUCUUGUUUUCGUUCUUUUGGUUUUGAGAUUUUUUUUCUCAGAUUGACUUAAGAAAUUUGGGGUCUGUGGAAUAAUGUUUUUGGGAAGCCGUUGAUGCUCUUUUUUUUCGCCAGAGGCUCACUCAUGACUCGGGUAAGAGACGACUCAGCGACUCACUCAAGUCUAGCUGUUCUGUUUUCUUUCAACGAAUUAAUAAUAAACUAUUUUUCAUUUUUCGUACAUUUAUUGCAAAUUGUUUAUUAAAUAAAAAUAUUCUUUAAAGAAAAGUUCGUUUUUUUUUUGCGGGAAACGACUUUAGCUUAUAGGUCUUUCUUUAUGCUGAAUAAUAAUAAAAUCAAAAGUGACAGCUGUUGGGUACAAUAAUUAAAAGUUCAUGUUAUCAGAAGUUGAGCUCGCGUCGUUUAAGGAUAAUACAUUAAUCAACUAAAAUCCAAUUUGAAUCUUUAAUACCAUGAUUAAAAAUCCCAAGAGCGUGAUUAUAUUUUGUUUAUAAAUUGUAUUCCCACCAUUUUUUUAAUAUAAUUCAUUUUAGAAUUGUGCACAUAGAUUAAAAAAAUCAUUAUUUUUUAUAUUUUCUAAACAAAAACAUCAUUAAUUAUUUAUUUAACCACAAAUCAACUAAUAAUAAAAUAGAAGAUAUAUUAUUAUUGAUCAUUUAAUAUUAAAUGAUAAUAAAUUUUACAUAGAACACCGAGAACGUCAUAUAAUUUAGAACAUAAAUUUUUUUUCUAGAACGACUUAUAUUGAAAAACGGAGGGAGUAAUAGAAUUUUUGGUACAUUACUUUAAGACUACUGCCCCUUCGCUAGUCUUAUCUUUACUCCAGUCUGUAUUUUUAAUUGUUUGUUCUCUGUUUAAAUCAUUUUAACGGUUAAAUAAUAAUAAUAAUAAUAAUUUUAACAUUUGUGUCAUCACUUUCCUGAAUUCUUUUAAGCAUUUCGAUCACUAGGACAAUUGUCUUAUGGAUCUCAGGAACUAACCAAGCUCACAAAAAUGAAUGUAUCAGCCAAGCAGAAGAUAAACAAGGACAUGAGCUACAAUGCAGAUGAUAUAAUUGCUGGUAAUGAUACAAUAGAUGCAAACAGUUCAAGAUAUUAUUCUUUGAAAUGACAAAAGAACACAACAAAAGCAAACAGAGGAAACUAAUGUUUCUACCGGUUAUUAGAGGAUCACUUGCCUAUAACCAGUUUAGCUCUAGCACUGGAACUGAUCUCCUAGUCUACAAUGAGCCAUCAACAGCCACACAAAGCUGAUGAGUUCUCCACCUUUGCUUAGCUGAGCUACGUGUUCUACAGCGCCACACUUAGUUGCUGCAUAACAAAGCAACUCAGCCCACACUUUGCUCACUACUUCCCACAUGUAUGCCUCUCCCUUGGCCUUCUUCAAGCCUUCCUUUAACUCUGGAAGCUCUUUUAAACCCUUAAGCUCUUUGGCCAACAUGCUCCCAUCAAACAACACUGACUUGCUCCUAUCACCUUUCACGUCAAUAGGUUCAGCUUUUGCCGGAGCCGUCACAGAUAAAAUCGCCUCACUAGCCUUUUUUAUGUCUCUGGAUUCGAUAUGCUUUCUCUUGAAAAACCUCUUAGCCUCCUCGCAUCUAUCCCUCAAUCUUAUCUUUCCAAUACCCACAACAGCUAACAUCAAAGUAGAUUGCAUCAUCAUGAGGUACAUCAUGUAGUCUGAAAGGAUUUUACUAAACUCACGAUGCGGUUCAUGCGGUGCGGUUUUAACAGUUAUAAAAACGUAUCGAUAUAUGGUAUAUGUAAAGAUUUUUGUUAGUGUUAACUGCGGUGCGGAGCGGAACAGUUAUAAACAUUCGAAGCCUUAGGGUUUAAUGUUUUACUGACUACGUUAAAAAUAUAUUUUUGUAAAUACUACUAUUUUUAUUUUAUUUUUUACCGUUUAAUUUUAAAAAGAUAAUAUAAUUUGAUAAUAUGUAUUAUUUUUUUUUAAUAUAUCAAAUAUGAAAUAAUACAAUUCUAUUGAUUGGUGAACUUAGAGGUUUACACUAAGGGUGAAUCCAAGAAUAAGUCAUAAAUAAAUAAGAGGGUAAAGUUGGCCAUUUUGUAAUUGAAGUAUUGAACAUAUUGAAUGUAUUUUUUUUUCUCGGCGACUUUUUGUGCCAAUACUGUUCGAGGACUUCAAAAUGUCGGUCUUUAAUUAAUUACCUUUAGAAACCAUGGGAUAUUUUCAUACCGAUAUCAACGUGGGGGUGGGGUAGAGGGAGAAAAUUCCACUCAAGCUACCCCGCGUGGGCUCCAGAGUGUAUCCAUUUAUCUGUUAGAUAAUAGGUUGUGUUAUCUUUGGUUUACGAGCUUAGCUGGCUCUGAGACUAUCCACAGUGAUAAAACAAUUCAAUAUCUUCAUUUUUUCUUUUUAACAUUUCAUAUUAUUUUUCACCUAAUUAUUCAAUAUUCAAUUCAUUUUUAACCUCUACUAUAAUUUUAUUUUAUAAAAUUCAACACACUACUCCACUAUUUCUAAUUCAUUUUCUUUUUAUAUUUUAUAAUUCAAUAAUUAUAUAUUAUAUAAUAAUUUUGAUUAUAAUUAAAUUAAUAAUUUAAAUAAGAUAUUUUUUUAAUAUUCUUUUAAUACUUUUUUAAUAUAUUUUAUUAUUAACUUUUUAAAAUAAUAAAGAAAAUGUUUAACACUGUUUAUGUUAGUCAAACACUGUUUAUGUCGUUUUUUUUUUUAUGUUUUUUAUUUGAUUUUACAUUUUGCAAAAACAUUUAUUUUUUAUGAUAUUUUUAAAAUUG